rnacentral:rRNA from 1 species
GACAGAGGGGGCAAGCGUUGCUCGGAAUCACUGGGCGUAAAGGGCGCGUAGGCGGGAUGGCAAGUCGGUCAUGAAAUCCUUCGGCUUAACCGGGGAACUGCAUCUGAUACUGGAUGGCUUGAGAUUGGGAGAGGGAUGCGGAAUUCCAGGUGUAGCGGUGAAAUGCGUAGAUAUCUGGAGGAACACCGGUGGCGAAGGCGGCAUCCUGGACCAACACUGACGCUGAGGAGCGAAAGCCAGGGGAGCAAACGGG